GAUGAACGCUGGCGGCGUGCCUAAUACAUGCAAGUCGAGCGAACAGACGAGGAGCUUGCUCUUCUGACGUUAGCGGCGGACGGGUGAGUAACACGUGGAUAACCUACCUAUAAGACUGGGAUAACUUCGGGAAACCGGAGCUAAUACCGGACAAUAUAUUGAACCGCACGGUUCAAUAGUGAAAGACGGUUUUGCUGUCACUUAUCGAUGGAUCCGCGCCGCAUUAGCUAGUUGGUAAGGUAACGGCGUACCAAGGUAACGAUGCGUAGCCGACCUGAGAGGGUGAUCGGCCACACUGGAACUGAGACACGGUCCAGACUCCUACGGGAGGCAGCAGUAGGGAAUCUUCCGCAAUGGGCGGAAGCCUGACGGAACAACGCCGCGUGAGUGAUGAAGGUCUUCGGAUCGUAAAACUCUGUUAUUAGGGAAGAACAAAUGUGUAAGUAACUAUGCACGUCUUGACGGUACCUAAUCAGAAAGCCACGGCUAACUACGUG
rnacentral:rRNA from 1 species